rnacentral:tRNA from 1 species
GCGGCUCUAGCCCAACCGGCAGAGGCACCUGGUCGAGAACCAGUCCAGUCGGGGUUCGACUCCCCGGAGCCGCACCA